UGGGAAUCUUGCACAAUGGGCGAAAGCCUGAUGCAGCAACGCCGCGUGCGGGAAGACCAGCCUAGGGUUGAUAACCGCUUUCAGCAGGGAAGAAACUGACGGUACCUGCAGAAGAAGAUGCGGCCAACUACGUGCCAGCAGCCGCGGUGACACGUAGGCAUCAAGCGUUAUCCGGAUUUAUUGGGCGUAAAGAGCUCGUAGGCGGUUCGGUAAGUCGGGUGUGAAAACUCUGGGCUCAACCCAGAGAGGCCACUCGAUACUGCUGUGACUAGAGUGCGGUAGGGGAGCGGGGAAUUCCUGGUGUAGCGGUGAAAUGCGCAGAUAUCAGGAGGAACACCAGUGGCGAAGGCGCCGCUCUGGGCCGUAACUGACGCUGAGGAGCGAAAGCAUGGGUAGCAAACAGGAUUAGAUACCCUGGUAGUCCACACCGUAAACGAUGAAUGCCAGUCGUCGGGUAGCAUGCUAUUCGGUGACACACCUAACGGAUUAAGCAUUCC
rnacentral:rRNA from 1 species